rnacentral:rRNA from 1 species
GAUGAACGCUGGCGGCGUGCCUAAUACAUGCAAGUCGAGCGAACAGACGAGGAGCUUGCUCCUCUGACGUUAGCGGCGGACGGGUGAGUAACACGUGGAUAACCUACCUAUAAGACUGGGAUAACUUCGGGAAACCGGAGCUAAUACCGGAUAACAUGUUGAACCGCAUGGUUCAACAGUGAAAGACGGUCUUGCUGUCACUUAUAGAUGGAUCCGCGCCGCAUUAGCUAGUUGGUAAGGUAACGGCUUACCAAGGCAACGAUGCGUAGCCGACCUGAGAGGGUGAUCGGCCACACUGGAACUGAGACACGGUCCAGACUCCUACGGGAGGCAGCAGUAGGGAAUCUUCCGCAAUGGGCGAAAGCCUGACGGAGCAACGUCGCGUGAGUGAAGAAGGUCUUCGGAUCGUAAAACUCUGUUAUUAGGGAAGAACAAAUGUGUAAGUAACUAUGCACGUCUUGACGGUACCUAAUCAGAAAGCCACGGCUAACUACGUG